UUCCUAGCAGCGAGGAUGGCUUAACCAUUUAUCAGACAUCUUUUGUGAAAGAUCAAAAUACUGAGAGUCCAUUUUGUAGGCGGUAUCCAAAACACCACUCAGGAAAAUGUUGCACUGACAAACCUGUUCCUGAAUGAAAAAAACCUGCAGCCAAACAAGUCAUCUUAAUUAUAAAAACACCUUUAUAGCACUGACUUACCAUCAUCAGAGCCUUUUCUCGAGAUCUGAACUACUUGUUACUCAAAUGGAUGAUGAAAUAAACAUUUGUGUAAAGCAAAUGUGGUAGUACAGUUGAGAGUUCAUUGAAAUCAACAAUCAUAUGUUACUCUGAAGACAUACAUUACUAUAAAAAUUUUAAUGAAGAGGAGCAUUAUAAGGAAAAGCAUGAUUGUACGUAUUUUUAGAAAUACCUCGAUUAGGUGAACAGAGGUAGUGAUUGUACUUGUGUUAUCUGAUAACUGGUUGACCCUCAUCUUGAUACAAAAGCUCCUUCAACUUCAGAAUCAGUGGUGUGGCUGUGCCUCAAGCAGCUGACAGGAUCUGUGUUGACAGAAGUGUAUAAUGGAACUGGAUCCUUGAGAGUUUACCACAAUAGGGAGCCAAAACUGCAUGUUCAGAUCUGAGAAAAUGGUCUCAUUCAAAGCUGCUGUCUCUUGGACCGUGUGGCCUCCUGGAGCUCAAAGUACACCAUGACCCCACGGCAGGACGGAACCCGGGAUGUGCGAGUCCUCCAGCUGCCUGCAGAGCUGCUCCGGGAGGCAGAGGGCAGGACAGAGGAAAAAGAUUCAGGCUCUCAGAGCCCCUAGAGAGCGCACACGACCACCCA